rnacentral:rRNA from 1 species
UACGGGGGGGGCAAGCGUUGUUCGGAAUUACUGGGCGUAAAGGGCUCGUAGGCGGCCAACUAAGUCAGACGUGAAAUCCCCCGGCUUAACCGGGGAAUGGCAUCUGAUACUGGAUGGCUGGAGUUUGGGAGAGGGAUGCGGAAUUCCAGGUGUAGCGGUGAAAUGCGUAGAUAUCUGGAGGAACACCGGUGGCGAAGGCGGCAUCCUGGACCAACACUGACGCUGAUGAGCGAAAGCCAGGGGAGCAAACGGG